rnacentral:lncRNA from 1 species
ACAGGAAGAAGUCUGGAAGAGAUUCGGAGAGUAGUCGAUCAUUGUAGAAAAUCAGCUGAUAAUGAAGCCUAGAGAGUAUUUGGAGCAGUCCGAUAGAUGACUAAAGGAGCUCAUUAUUGGAGAAGCCCGGAGGGUAUGAUAGAAGUUCGUUCGUUGGAGGAAUCUAGAGGAUACUGUGAAAGGUCGACUGCUGGAGGAGUCCGG